rnacentral:lncRNA from 1 species
CAUAGAACAGCGCCCCCGGGUGGCCACACGGCGGCAUUGCAGCCACGCGGCGACCCCAUAGGGACACAAUGGCCCCAUAGACAUACAGUGACCCCAUAGGGACACAGAGACACCAUAGAAAUACGGUGACCCCAUAGGAAUACAGUGACCCCAUAGGGACACAGAGACCCCAUAGGGACACAGAGACGCCAUAGACAUACGGUGACCCCAUAGGAAUACAGUGACCCCAGAGGGACACAAUGACCCCAUAGAAACACAGAGACCCCAUAGGGACACAGUGACCCCAUAGGGACACAGCGCCCCCUGGCGGUAACACAGCGACACUGCACCCACAGCGCCCCCAUAAAAGGGCAUUGACCACAGCGCCCCCUGGCGGUGACUGAGCGGCACUGCACCCACAGCGCCCCCUGGUGGUCACACACAGACACUGCAUCCACAGCGCCCCCAUAGGGCUGCAUCGCCCACAGCGCCCCCAUAGGGCUGCAUUGCCCACAGCGCCCCUGGCGGGCUGCAUUGCCCACAGCGCCCCCUGGCGGUGACUGAGCGGCACUGCACCCCGCAGCGAAGCGGCGGCUCUUUUAUUUCCCACUGCGUUUCCCCGACGCCGUUUUGGGUUUUUUUUGUCGUUUUUUGUCGUUUUGGUGGUUUUUUUUGGGGGGGGGGCGGUGGGGGGGGGUCACGGAAGGGCCGUUAUUAUUGGGGGGGGGGUCUGUAAUAAUAACGACCCCCCCACACCCCAAUAUCUGACCUAUGGGGGGGGUUGGAGGACCGACAAUAAUAACGCCCCUCCCCCAUUGUCUGAUAUAUGGGGGGGGCAUUUAAAGGGACACUGCGGAGUUUUUUGGGGGGGGGUAAUAAAAUGGGGGGGUUUAAAGGGAUAUGGGGGGGUUUGGGGGGGGGGGUCCCAAAAUGGGGGGGUUGGAGGACCUACCUUAAUAAUGACCCCCCCCCCAAUGACUGAUAUAUGGGGGGGGGGAGGAUUUAAAGGGACAGUGCAGACUUUGGGGGGGGGGAUUUAAAGGGCCAUGGGGG